UUUUCCUCUUCCUUGGAUUCCAGGAGAUAUGUUAAUAUUCUUUUAAUAAAUGCCUUUUUUGUGUAGAAAUGCUUGUUUGGUUUCUGAUAGUUGUAACCUAAAAAAUCUUUAGUAAGCCAUUGGUCUGCUGUGGGGAGCGUCGAGAUGAAACUGGAACGUUGUUUGAACCUAGAUCAUAAAGUGACUCCAACAUCUUCAUACCAGGGAGAGGAGGAAGCUGUGCUGUGAAGGAUCCUUUUUCAUCAUGAUUAUUGCAUCCACAGAAGCAGUGAUAAAUUCUAACAGAUAAUGCAACUCAGUCUACUUGGAUGUUCACACCUGAGACUGGAGAAGACCUGCUGCCUUCUGCAGAGCCAAACAUUCCUCACAUGCUCCUCCACAAUGCUCCUUACACUGGUCUACCUAAAGAAAACCUCUACAGACAAAGGAGAUGAGCCCAGCAUGGCUUGUUUACAGUGAAUCUAAGCAGAUUCCUCAUCUGUUCUGGGAUACGUGCGUCGAGAUUGCCAGACUGUG
rnacentral:lncRNA from 1 species